GACGAACGCUGGCGGCGUGCCUAACACAUGCAAGUCGAACGAGGUCCAUGAGAGCUUGCUCUCAGAAGACCUAGUGGCGAACGGGUGAGUAACACGUGAGAAACCUGCCUCGGAGUGGGGAAUAACUCGGGGAAACUCGAGCUAAUACCGCAUAUCUUCACAUGAUCGCAUGGUCGAGUGAAGAAAGAAUUUCGCUCUGAGAGGGUCUCGCGGCCUAUCAGCUUGUUGGUGGGGUAACGGCCCACCAAGGCAACGACGGGUAGCUGGUUUGAGAGAACGAUCAGCCACACUGGGACUGAGACACGGCCCAGACUCCUACGGGAGGCAGCAGUGGGGAAUCUUGCGCAAUGGGCGAAAGCCUGACGCAGCAACGCCGCGUGCGGGGAUGACGGCCUUCGUGGUUGUAAACCGCUUUCAGCAGGGACGAAAAUGACGGUACCUGCAGAAGAAGCCCGGCUAACUACGUAGCCAGCAGCCGCGGUAA
rnacentral:rRNA from 1 species